UUCCUUAAGAAAUGAACAAAGUGUGCCUAU
rnacentral:piRNA from 1 species